rnacentral:lncRNA from 1 species
GGGUGUAGUAGGAGUGGUGGCGCGAGCUUUGGCACUGAGGAGCGUCAUCAAUGCGCGUGGUGGGGAUGGGCUGAUGUUUGGAUUUGGUGAUCUUAAUGAGCUUUUCCAACCUGAAUGAUGCUAUGACCGAGCCGCCACGUGGUCACCAGUUUUACUUCAGAACUGUGUUGAAAGAGCGAAGGCUCAGUACCUGCCCCACUUCAGAUCUUCUACGUGACCAGCUGGAAAUUUCAUGAAUCACAGGUAAU